rnacentral:lncRNA from 1 species
AUUUCUCCUGGGAAACCUGCCUUUGUAUGUGGAAGUAUACCUGGCUUAUUAAAAUAUAUGUAUUUAAAAACAAAAAGCAACAGUAAUCUAUGUGUUUCUGUAACAAAUUGGGAUCUGUCUUGGCGUUAAACCACAUCAUGGACCAAAUGUGCCAUACUAAUGAUGAGCAUUUAGUACAAUUUGAGACUGAAAUUUAGUACACUAUGUUCUAGAUAGGUCACUCUAACAGUUUGCCUGCUGUAUUUAUAGUAACCAUUUUCCUCCAGACCGUUCAAGCAGAAAAGGUAACUAAUUGCUUCAUCUCCUUUUGUGCUUAUUUGGAAAUUUUAGUUACAGUGUUUAACUGGCAUGGAUUAAUAGAGUUGGAGUUUUAUUUUUAAGAAAAAUUCACAAGCUAACUUCCACUAAUCCAUUACCCUUUAUUUUAUUGAAAUGUAUAAUUAACUUAACUGAAGAAAGGGUUCUUCUUGGGAGUACGUUGUCGUAACAUUUACAGAUUUCCCUUCAUUUAAACUAAAUUACUGUUGUAUGUUGAUCUGCUGCAUAUUUCUG